CUCAGCUGUGGGGCCACAGAAGGCAGGACACCCUGACCAUGUCCACCAUGGCCUGGUCCCCUCUGCUCCUCACCCUGGUCGCUCUCUGCACAGGAUCCUGGGCACAGGCUGUGCUGACUCAGCCGCCCUCCGUGUCUGGGUCCCCGGGCCAGAGGGUCACCAUCACAUGCUCUGGGAGCAGCAGCAACAUUGGGCGUGGAGAUGAUGUGGGCUGGUUCCAACAGAUCCCAGGAUCGGCCCCCAGAAGCCUUAUCUAUGAUACCACCAGUCGACACUCAGGGGUCCCGGACCGAUUCUCUGGCUCCAGGUCUGGGAACACAGCCACCCUGACCAUCAGUUCGCUCCAGGCUGAGGACGAGGCGGGUUACUACUGUUUAUCUGGUGACAGUAGCGGCUAUGAUGGCACAGUGCUCCAGGCCUGGGGGGAAACCACAGGUGACGCUGUGGCUUCCUGCAACCUGAGCAGGGACAUCACUGUUGCCGCUGUGCUCUAUACUGGGACCAGCAGAAGCCAGUGA